rnacentral:rRNA from 1 species
UCGGCUUAGAGUUUGAUCAUGGCUCAGGACGAACGCUGGCGGCGUGCCUAAUACAUGCAAGUCGAACGCUCGAGUGCUUGCACUCAAGGAGUGGCGGACGGGUGAGUAACACGUGGGUAACCUGCCCAUCAGAGGGGGAUAACACUUGGAAACAGGUGCUAAUACCGCAUAACAGUCAAACCGCAUGGUGUUGAAUGAAAGACGUUCGUGUCGCUGAUGGAUGGACCCGCGGUGCAUUAGCUAGUUGGUGAGGUAACGGCUCACCAAGGCCAUGAUGCAUAGCCGACCUGAGAGGGUGAUCGGCCACACUGGGACUGAGACACGGCCCAGACUCCUACGGGAGGCAGCAGUAGGGAAUCUUCGGCAAUGGACGAAAGUCUGACCGAGCAACGCCGCGUGAGUGAAGAAGGUUUUCGGAUCGUAAAACUCUGUUGUUAGAGAAGAAUAAGUGGGAGGUAAUUCCCGCCUUGACGGUAUCUAACCAGAAAGCCACGGCUAACUACGUGCCAGCAGCCGCGGUAAUACGUAGUGGCAAGCGUUGUCCGGAUUUAUUGGGCGUAAAGCGAGCGCAGCGGUUUCUUAAGUCUGAUGUGAAAGCCCCCGGCUCAACCGGGGAGGGUCAUUGGAAACUGGGAGACUUGAGUGCAGAAGAGAGAGUGGAAUUCCAUGUGUAGCGUGAAAUGCGUAGAUA